rnacentral:sRNA from 16 species
GAGCGCCUGAUGCCCGAAGGUCAAGGCCUUCGCGCCCGUGCGCAUCAUUUGGUCGGGGUAGCGGCCCCUCCCGAUGCAUACGGGGUCGCUCCAGGCGCCGAUGGGAUACGGCGGGUGCUCCCCCGCGCGUCCCGGCGCAGCUCGGCCGGCGUCGAUGACCCGGCGGCGAA